UAACCUGCCUUAUAGUGGGGGAUAGCCUUUCGAAAGGAAGAUUAAUACCGCAUAAGAUUGUAGUAUCGCAUGAUAUAGCAAUUAAAGGAGCAAUCCGCUAUAAGAUGGACCCGCGUCGCAUUAGCUAGUUGGUGAGGUAAUGGCUCACCAAGGCGACGAUGCGUAGCCGACCUGAGAGGAUGACCAGCCACACUGGAACUGAGACACGGUCCAGACUCCUACGGGAGGCAGCAUG
rnacentral:rRNA from 1 species